rnacentral:rRNA from 1 species
AUAGCGACUAUCGUGGCAUAUCAAUAAGCGGAGGAAAAGAAACUAACAAGGAUUCCCCUAGUAACGGCGAGUGAAGCGGGAAGAGCUCAAAUUUGAAAUCUUCAAGGUUUGACCUUGACGAAUUGUAGUUUAAAGAAGUGUUUUUGGUUAGAGGAGUAGUAAAAGUUCUUUGGAAUAGGACAUCAUAGAGGGUGAGAAUCCCGUAUUUGACUAUUCUUUCUAGCUUUGUGAUACACUUUCAAAGAGUCGGAUUGUUUGGGAAUGCAGUCCAAAAUGGGUGGUAAAUUUCAUCUAAAGCUAAAUAUUGGCGAGAGACCGAUAGCGAACAAGUACCGUGAGGGAAAGAUGAAAAGAACUUUGAAAAGAGAGUUAAACAGUACGUGAAAUUGUCAAAAGGGAAGCGUUUGACACCAGUGUUGUUUUUCCGAAAAUCAAUUAAAAAUUGAUUCAUGCUAGGUUGUAUUGACCUCGUCAGCUUGCAAUUUAGGUUUUGGGUCUCUUUUUGAUGCACUUUUCGGUUAACAAGUCAACAUCAAUUUCCUUUGCUGUAAAAAGGUAAGAGGAAGGUGGCUUCAAUUUCGGUUGAAGUGUUUAUAGCCUUUUAUCUCUGCAGUCGGGGAGAUUGAGGUCUGCAGCGUAGAUCCUUCGGGGCUAGAUACAUUUAUGCUAAGUUAUAGCUUUUCAUAGACAACUUGUUGACUAUGUUUAGUCAUGUAGCUUACUCGUAAGUGCUAUUUUACCUACGCUUAGGAUGUUGAUAGUCACAGCGUGUAC